GGGCGGUUAGCUCAGUUGGUUAGAGCGCAUGGUCGACAUCCAUGAGGCCACAGGUUCAAAUCCUGUACCGCCCA
rnacentral:tRNA from 1 species